CUGGCUUUGUGAAACGACUUAAGAGGUGUAGCAUAAGUGGGAGUAGAAACUGAAAUAUGUUUUUACGACAGUGAAAUACCACUACUUUUAAAGUUGUUUUACUUAUCUAUUGAUAGGGAAAUAUAUUAUGUGACUCGUCACAUAUUCAUAUUAAUUGAAUUAAUAAGUAGCACUUUUUACAG
rnacentral:ncRNA from 1 species